CAGUCGCCGCGGUAAUACAGAGGGUGCGAGCGUUAAUCGGAUUUACUGGGCGUAAAGCGUGCGUAGGCGGCUUCUUAAGUCGGGUGUGAAAUCCCUGAGCUUAACUUAGGAAUUGCAUUCGAUACUGGAAGCUAGAGUAUGGGAGAGGAUGGUAGAAUUCCAGGUGUAGCGGUGAAAUGCGUAGAGAUCUGGAGGAAUACCGAUGGCGAAGGCAGCCAUCUGGCCUAAUACUGACGCUGAGGUACGAAAGCAUGGGGAGCAAACAGGAUUAGAUACCCCGGUAGUCCCUGUCUCUUAUACC
rnacentral:rRNA from 1 species